CAGACCUAGGAGCAAAAUCAGGAGCAGGUUUAACCAUCAGAGGCCAGAACUCAGUGUGCUCACUAGGCGAACAGGAAGGCUGCAGCCCCCGCUGUCCCCUCCAGCAGUUUCCGGUGAGUGCUCUGCGGGGCGGCACCGGCUCGCACAGCGAACCCUCAGAGCUUGCAAAACUCACUGACAAGUCCCCAAGGCUGUUGGCAGGGGUGCCAGCAGGGAACUACAGAUGGCACGCAGAGGGUGCAAUCCAGAAAACCAGCCCCUGGUGACAGGAAGGUGGCUUUGCUGUCCAGAGGGGUCCCCUGGAACUGGCCGGCUGGCCGAGGAGGCACCAAGCCCACAGGUGCAUCCCUGAGCCUUCAGCACAUCCGCCAUCUCCUCAGUGGCUAACCUAAAAAUUACACAGGACAGGGACAGGAGGCCGAGAGGGCAGCGAAAGGAAAUCUGGCUCCCUGGUCAGGACGCAGGCUGCGUACUGAGCACCUGCAGCCUGUCGGGCCCUGUGCUAAACUCUUCAAGGACCCUAACUCAAUAAGUCACCCUCACAGCUCCACAAGCCAGGAAGAAGCAGCCCCCUGCCUGCACAGAUAGGAAGAUGGAAACACAGAGGCUGGGACUGCAGUACAGAGUUACACUCCCUGCUCCACUAAACAGACCAGGGCAAUGCGGCCUGCAUUUGACCAAGCUGGCCUUCUCUGUUCUGAACCUGCCCCAAACAGCCAGCAGCAGAAAGGCUAUUUCACAAGCCAAGAGACAGCUGAAGGCUAAAUGUUGUUUCCAUGCCCGUCUGGGGAAUCAGCAGUAUUUCUGCCCCUUGUUCACAGGACCUGGAACCAUUUUUCAACCACAGAAUAAGUGCUUACAGAGACACCAUCUCAUCUCAAAAGGAAGGUGCCAUCUCAUUUGUGAGGCAAUGGAGGAAAAAACCCGAAUGGCAGUACUUUGGUUUGCUCUUGGCAUCACUCAUCUAGCUGUUCUUUAAGUAGCUUCCAUUUUCAGGGGAGGACUGAGCAGUCACUCCUGAGGCAAAAGGGCAAGCCGAAGAGGUGCAGCUGGUUAGUGGGGACUUCUGGUUUUCCAACAAGUUCCUGGGAUUAAAAUCACACUGACAGAAUGUUUCAGACUAACACUUAGAUUUCAGCCAAAAAAAAAAAAAAAGACUAUUCAUUAGGACAUAGUAUUAUAAAAGAGAGCCAUCAAUUUAAUAUCCUAAGGUGUAAGCAUUUUGUAACAUUAGAGGUGGUUUCUCCACCAACCUGUGAGUCCCCUUGAGAAUAAAAAGUGUCUUCAUCUGUGUCUCCCAGCACUGCCUGGCACACAGUCGGAGACCCACAUCAUUCUUUAUAGGGCAGACGUCAGGUUUUCAAACCAGUCCACAGAAUUAAAUACUCCCCUAGGUUAAAUAAGCUCGUCUCCUUUGUGGACCAAGAGCUUCUAAUUACACAUCUCAAACCUACACAUCGAAGUGGGGCUGGCUUGUAGCCCCGUGUGGCAAGAAACGCCAGUCCCAUUUCCACAUAGUGCUGGCAGGAUUACAAAAGGGUACGGCCCCCAGGGAGGAAAACUCAUUGGGUGCCACCCAGCGACUCCUCUUCUAGGAAUCCACCCUCCAGAUAGAUGCCUAAGUGUGCAAAAUGACACAUACAGAGUCAUUUACUACAGCAGCAGGCUGGAAACAACCCAAACAUCCACUGAUAAAGGAGCAGUUAAAUAAAUUAACGUGCAGGAAUGCUACGCAGGCUUAAAAAAAAUGAAAUACUUCGAAUACUGACGCGGAGCAAUCGCCAAGAUACAAAAGAUACAGAAGAGUACGCACAGUGUAUUAUCGACCUGUAUUAAAAAGAAGGGGACGAGCACUUCCAGAAUGGCAGAGUAAGGCCCCCCGAAAACCUGCUCCUCCAUAAAAGCAACAAGAACUCUGGCAACAUUGUCAAAAUCAGCUUUUCAGAACUCCAGCAAUUAACCAAAGUCUUGCAAUAAUUCAAAGAGUGCUUAUGCAAGAAAAACAGCUGAAUUUCAAAACAAGAAGCUUUGUGGUAUUUCAGCCUGACCUGUUCCUACCCUUCUCUGCCCAGAUCCGCAGUAGUUUUGAAAGCAGCAGCCUCGCACACGCGGUAGCUGUGAGAACCAGCAGCCACUGCGGGGAGCCCGUCAGGACUGGGCUCUCCAGAGAGCCUCAUCCCCAGAGAACUGGCCCUGUGUGACCUAUCUGGCUCCCCCCUGGAAAAAGACCAUCCUCAGGGUUGGUUUUUAUUUGACCUGAGUCAGGUCUUGCUCAAGAGAAAUGCCCUAUGUCUAGACAUUUAUCCAGAAACAGUCAGCGGUAAUUCCUUAACCCGGCAAAUGCCUGAGGCAGUGAGACCAGUUGGGGAAAGCAGGAGGCUGGCUGAAGCACUCAAAAGCUGGGAAUGGGACAGACGUCUUUGUGGGGUUUUGAAAUACUCCUAGGGAACCGUGGGGCCCCCCACACAGGUGAGGCUGUACACAAGCCCAGGAAAAACAUGAGAAAGCUUCAGCCUCUCAGCUGUGGCUGACCUGGGGUGUUGAAGGUGAGCCCCGAAACACAUGCGCACAGCCGCUCAGCAAAGGCUGGGAGACUUACUUCAGUGCCUUGAGGACAUCUCUGUCCAGUCAUUUAGCUGACCACCACCCUAACCAAAGAGAAACUUCAACGGCUACACAGACGAAGGACACAGACGGGCUUUACAAAAUUAGUCUGGGAGAGCCACUAAACAAACAGCAGCAAACCUGGGGGGAUCCGAUUACCAGAGUUGCCAUGUUCUGUUAUUUGAAAUACUCAGUUUUUACGUAUAGCACAGGGAAAUAUAUACAAGAUCUUGUAGCUCACAGCAAAAAAAAAAAGUGACAAUGAAUAUAUGUAUGUUCAUAUAUAACUUAAAAUUGUGCUCUACACUGGAAUUUGACAUAACAUUGUAAAAUGACUAUAACUCAAUAAAAAAAAGUUAAAAAUAUUCAGUUUUUAGCAGAAAAAUUACAAGACACUCGAAGUAAAAUGUGGGCAGUAGUCAGGGCCUCAUUUCUUCGGGGACAGCCUCUCUGGCCCCAGGUCUAGGCUGGGGUCCUUCGAGCUCCCACGGUGCCUUAAACUACCCCAGCCCGAGCCUGCCUCCUGGCUCUAGACUGUGCUGUAAUCACCUGAUUGCACAUCUCCCCUCCGGGCCCUCAGGGAGGGGGCUGCAUCUGGCUUACUCACUCUGCCUCCCUCAGCAAGCCCCACUAGCACGGCAGACAAUCUGCUAAGGCAACGAAUGCAUAAUUCACGCGCCAUUCCAAACACACCACUGAAAAUAACCCCAGAGAAAGGCCAGACAUUUCCUUCCGCCUUCUACAAGAGGGCAUUAAAAAAUUCUCCUGCUGCUUACAAAGGACUGUGUCAUUUCAGUGCUGUACAUCUCAAAGAAAUGAGUGGUUUGUGCUUUAAGAUUGGGAAACUAAACUAGUUUAGCAAGAUCUUCUGCUUUGCAGA